GAAAGAGGCAGCCAGGGGUCACCCAGCGCGGGCCCCGGGCCCUGGAGCCCAGGGACCCUCGGCUCACGGCUCCUCCUGCAGCUCUGCCCCAGCCAGGCCGCACCGUGCGUGUGUGUGUGUAUGUUGGCGUGUGUGUGUGUGAGUGUGUGUGUGUGUGUGUGUGUGUGUGUGUGUUGGCGUGUGUGUGUGUGUGUGGUUCGGCCUGGGGGGGCCUUACCACCCUGCACCGGCUCAUGAAAGUUUGCCAGAAAAUGAAUAAAAAGGAGAGGCAAAGGUCCUGGUUUAGUUUUUUUUCCGCCUUCCCUGAUUACGCAUCCCCCCGCUGACUGUUUGAGUGAGAGUUCGGUACACAGCUCUCUGACAUCCGAGCGCACAGCCUCCUUCCUCUCCCGCCUUCCUCUGAGCGUGCCUCACCAGCCGCACUGGGUGAGUCAGACCGCCAGGACUUUUAAAAAAUGCUAAUGGUGAUCUCUGCGAGAGAACAAGGCCCCCAUUUGCAUUUCACCUGCGAUGUGCCAUCGCUGACAUCUGGCAUUGUUGCCUGGAUACGUUACGAAUGUUAUUGACUGUUUUCUUUGAGGCAAAGUAAUGUAUCUUUCAUAACAGUGGAUUUCAGGUGGUGAAGCUGGUUCCAAGGCCAUUUAAAAAAAAAAAAAGACAACUCAACCAAGAAACCAAAAGUCUUCUUCUUUUUUUUUUUAAGUAAAGCAAGAAAAAAAACUAAACAAAUGGACUAUACCUCUGCCAAUGCAAUAGAGCCUUCACCUGAAGACAUCAUACGAACUCUGAGAACUUUCUUCUUAGAUCUGUGUUCUCUGACUUCCAGUCCCUGGAAAGGCUGUGAAAAUCCACGGGUUGUUGCCCUGCGCUCAACCCAAAGCACUGGACUGAAGCCGGACAUUCGUUUUUUUUUAAAUGAGCCAAAAACCUCCAGAAGUCAAACUGCACGUGAGUCCGCGAUCCCUUUGGAUCACCCCUGAGGGGUCUGGAGGAUCGCGGGCGCUUACCAGAGAGAAUACGGCAUCAUGGCAGCUCAGGAAGGACUUCCUGGGGGAUUCUGGGAGAGCGAGCUCGGACUGGCGGAGGGGCAGCCUGGCCAGCGACGGGACGGACCUCAUAACCGGAUGGACGUCUCACACGGAGCAGACACCGUGGAGGGGACAGCCGCCAGGGCAGUGCCAACCCAAACCCACCUCCAAUCAAACCAGCGCUGCCCAUCCCUCCCUGAAAAUACAAAGAAAUACCCUGGCACAGCUCUCAACCAGGCCCGUCGGUGGGUCCGAUCCACACUGAGCUGAAUUCUAGCUCUGUCUGUGAACUUGCCCCGGAAAGCUAUGAAGACCACAGGAUGCUAAUGCUUGUGGAAAGACUUGAAAUGUGCAUAUUAAGAUGAAAUAUUUAUUUGAUGCCCUGCUGACUACUGCAUAAAACAGGGACCAUAUUUCGGGGGCAGGUAAGUGAGCGAACUCGCUGGUAAGUAUUUAAACACUUGUACAUAUCCAUACAGCGAUUUAAUAUUUCAGUGUCCUCUAGCACUGUAACAAAGUAAUCCACUGGCAUGACUUGCACACACUUUUCAAGGAGAGUGGCGGAGAAUAUGUAGAGAAGAUUUAAAUGAUCCCCAGACUAAACAGACUGAUAAUAUCAAACCAGGAUUAACAGACACCAGACACUGAUUUCUUGCAUUAGCAGCAAGAGAAGUCUGCUUCAUUUUGACACUGGCAUAUUCAUGGGCAGCCCUUUGCGGUUCCCAAGGGGUCCUGCAUAUCUGUCCGUGAUGCUUAGGAGCACAGAAAGCCACUCUGCUGUGUCUCUCAUCGGAGUGCUCGGGAGAUUAAUGAAAGCUCAAAGUGAAUUUAUUUAUUUGCUUAUGUUUUUGUAAUCAUUCAUAUGUAGUCAAAUCGCUGAGGAUGGUAUUAUAAGAUUAUCAGUGGCUACUGAGGCUAUGCAGAGUGGGUAUUAUACUUAUAAAGCCAAUCGUUCUUGAAUGACAAAAUGCAUUGACACGUGUCUUUGUUUUGUGUGAGUUCUGAAUAAAAUAUUUAAGAUUAA